AUUGAACGCUGGCGGCAUGCCUUACACAUGCAAGUCGAACGGCAGCACGGGAGCAAUCCUGGUGGCGAGUGGCGAACGGGUGAGUAAUAUAUCGGAACGUGCCCAGUCGUGGGGAUAACGUAGCGAAAGCUACGCUAAUACCGCAUACGAUCUAUGGAUGAAAGCGGGGGAUCGCAAGACCUCGCGCGAUUGGAGCGGCCGAUAUCAGAUUAGGUAGUUGGUGAGGUAAAGGCUCGCCAAGCCGACGAUCUGUAGCUGGUCUGAGAGGACGACCAGCCACACUGGGACUGAGACACGGCCCAGACUCCUACGGGAGGCAGCAGUGGGGAAUUUUUGGGACAAUGGGCGCAAGCCUGAUCCAGCAAUGCCGCGUGCAGGAUGAA
rnacentral:rRNA from 1 species